rnacentral:rRNA from 1 species
AUUGAACGCUGGCGGCAGGCCUAACACAUGCAAGUCGAGCGGUAGAGAGAAGCUUGCUUCUCUUGAGAGCGGCGGACGGGUGAGUAAUGCCUAGGAAUCUGCCUGGUAGUGGGGGAUAACGUUCGGAAACGGACGCUAAUACCGCAUACGUCCUACGGGAGAAAGCAGGGGACCUUCGGGCCUUGCGCUAUCAGAUGAGCCUAGGUCGGAUUAGCUAGUUGGUGGGGUAAUGGCUCACCAAGGCGACGAUCCGUAACUGGUCUGAGAGGAUGAUCAGUCACACUGGAACUGAGACACGGUCCAGACUCCUACGGGAGGCAGCAGUGGGGAAUAUUGGACAAUGGGCGAAAGCCUGAUCCAGCCAUGCCGCGUGUGUGAAGAAGGUCUUCGGAUUGUAAGGCACUUUAAGUUGGGAGGAAGGGUUGUAGAUUAAUACUCUGCAGUUUUGACGUUACCGACAGAAUAAGCACCGGCUAACUCUGUGCCAGCCGCCGCCGUAA